AGAGUUUGAUCCUGGCUCAGGAUGAACGCUGGCGGCGUGCCUAAUACAUGCAAGUCGAGCGAUUUACUUCGGUAAAGAGCGGCGGACGGGUGAGUAACGCGUGGGUAACCUGCCCUGUACACACGGAUAACAUACCGAAAGGUAUGCUAAUACGAGAUAAUAUGCUUUUAUCGCAUGGUAGAAGUAUCAAAGCUUUUGCGGUACAGGAUGGACCCGCGUCUGAUUAGCUAGUUGGUAAGGUAACGGCUUACCAAGGCGACGAUCAGUAGCCGACCUGAGAGGGUGAUCGGCCACAUUGGAACUGAGACACGGUCCAAACUCCUACGGGAGGCAGCAGUGGGGAAUAUUGCACAAUGGGCGAAAGCCUGAUGCAGCAACGCCGCGUGAGCGAUGAAGGCCUUCGGGUCGUAAAGCUCUGUCCUCAAGGAAGAUAAUGACGGUACUUGAGGAGGAAGCCCCGGCUAACUACGUGCCAGCAGCCGCGGUAAUACGUAGGGGGCUAGCGUUAUCCGGAAUUACUGGGCGUAAAGGGUGCGUAGGUGGUUUCUUAAGUCAGAGGUGAAAGGCUACGGCUCAACCGUAGUAAGCCUUUGAAACUGGGAAACUUGAGUGCAGGAGAGGAGAGUGGAAUUCCUAGUGUAGCGGUGAAAUGCGUAGAUAUUAGGAGGAACACCAGUUGCGAAGGCGGCUCUCUGGACUGUAACUGACACUGAGGCACGAAAGCGUGGGGAGCAAACAGGAUUAGAUACCCUGGUAGUCCACGCCGUAAACGAUGAGUACUAGCUGUCGGAGGUUACCCCCUUCGGUGGCGCAGCUAACGCAUUAAGUACUCCGCCUGGGAAGUACGCUCGCAAGAGUGAA
rnacentral:rRNA from 1 species